AUGGCGACCGAGGAAGGCGAGAAGAAGAUGAUCACUCUCAAGAGCUCAGACGGUGAGGAAUUUCAGGUCAUCGAGUACUGCAAGAAGCACGUCCAGGCCAGCCCCAAACUGGCCGACUCCACCGACGCCAGCUCCUCCAUCUCUACUGCAGCCGCCGCCCCAGCCGAGGACCUCAAGAGCUUUGACGCCGAGUUCGUCAAGGUCGACCAGGUCACCCUCUUCGACCUCAUCCUGGCUGCAAACUACCUCAACAUCAAGGGAUUGCUCGACCUUACUUGCCAGACCGUUGCAGACAUGAUCAAGGGAAAGACUCCGGAGGAGAUCCGCAAGACUUUUAACAUCAAGAAUGACUUCACACCCGAGGAGGAGGCGCAGAUCCGCAGGGAGAACCAGUGGGCUUUUGAGUAG
rnacentral:rRNA from 1 species